GUGAAGUCAGACAUUGACAGCGACAUCUUAACCGGUCAAUGUGUGCAGUUCACCAGAAGUGACGGGUCCAAACAGAUCGACAAAGUCAUUUACCAAGUUCUAGCCAAGCCUUCUGUGUAGUUCACCAAGUUUGAUGGCGACAUCCACAUCUACGUCUAUAAUCUGGUGGAAAAGAUCCGUUAAGAUACCCACGGGCCUUUGACAACCCCAGUAUCUUUUCCAGUUGAAUUUGUUUUGCUCUAAAAAUUAAAAUGUGUGAUGUGACGUGUUGUGUGUGAACACUUUGGUGGAGGAGACGGACUGUGGUGGAUGGAACAUGGAGAGGAAGCCGGAAAGGUCAAGGCUGUGAACAAACAGCCAAGACAUCACUACAGAAGGUGGAUGUGAGGUGAAGGCUUCCACGGAGGACAUUUUGACGAGGAUAACUCAAGAGAAGUGAAUGCCAAACUAAGUUUAUAUCUAUCGAUUCCUAAAAGUAUCAAAG
ensembl:lncRNA